AGACCAUGGUGAAGGCAACGUCGAAGCAAAUCCUUGUAUCUCUCCCAAGCCUUAUACAAUGACUCAAAAUCAAGUUGCAUAAAUGAUGUGAUAUCAUUCCUCAUUUU
rnacentral:snoRNA from 1 species